CGCCGUCUCUGGUGACGUGCCUGUUCCCCUUCGCUGCCUGUUUUUUUUUUUUUUUUCUUAAAAAUUGGGUGGUUUUCCUUUUGCUGUGGAUUUGUUGGAGUUCCUUAGCGAUGCUACCCGUGCGGUCUGUCGGAUGUGUGUGACUUGACUUUUUUCUCCGCUAAUUGUGGUGUGACUAAUCGCGGAAUGAAUUAAGCUGCAGGAGAGAAAAGGGACCAUCUCACGUGAUUUCUGUUCUCCGACCUGUGCUGAGGCUUGUGGGUCGUGGUGCAAGCUGUGGUGUGGGCGUGCGUGCCCCGUGCCCCAAGGGAUGGGUGUUCUGUGUGCCGUGCCGAGCGUGGCGUCCCGUGGCUAUGCACCGGUCGUGUCUCCUCACAUCUGCACCUGUGCUGGCUCUGCCUCGUUGGCCUGGCACUGACUGUGGGAGGACCGCGGAGAGGGCAGGUCCGCGCGUGGACGUGGCCUCUCGAGGAACAGCUGUCUUUGCGGAUGUGCUCUGGUCACGGCUCGUGGCGUCUCGUACGUGACAAACGAUAGAAAACAUCACCGAUGCUGAGUGCGUG
rnacentral:lncRNA from 1 species